AUGAACGCUGGCGGCGUGCCUAAUACAUGCAAGUCGAGCGAACAGACAAGGAGCUUGCUCCUUUGACGUUAGCGGCGGACGGGUGAGUAACACGUGGGUAACCUACCUAUAAGACUGGGAUAACUUCGGGAAACCGGAGCUAAUACCGGAUAAUAUUUCGAACCGCAUGGUUCGAUAGUGAAAGAUGGUUUUGCUAUCACUUAUAGAUGGACCCGCGCCGUAUUAGCUAGUUGGUAAGGUAACGGCUUACCAAGGCGACGAUACGUAGCCGACCUGAGAGGGUGAUCGGCCACACUGGAACUGAGACACGGUCCAGACUCCUACGGGAGGCAGCAGUAGGGAAUCUUCCGCAAUGGGCGAAAGCCUGACGGAGCAACGCCGCGUGAGUGAUGAAGGUCUUCGGAUCGUAAAACUCUGUUAUUAGGGAAGAACAUACGUGUAAGUAACUAUGCACGUCUUGACGGUACCUAAUCAGAAAGCCACGGCUAACUAC
rnacentral:rRNA from 1 species